UGGCGGCGUGCCUAACACAUGCAAGUCGAACGGAGUUUAUAUUAUGAAGUCUUCGGAUGAAUUAAUAUAAACUUAGUGGCGGACGGGUGAGUAACGCGUGGGUAACCUGCCUCACACAGGGGGAUAACAGUUGGAAACGACUGCUAAAACCGCAUAUAAUUACAUUAUCGCAUGACAGAGUAAUGAAAUAUUUAUAGGUGUGAGAUGGGCCCGCGUCUGAUUAGCUAGUUGGUGGGGUAAAAGCCUACCAAGGCGACGAUCAGUAGCCGGCUUGAGAGAGUGACCGGCCACAUUGGGACUGAGACACGGCCCAAACUCCUACGGGAGGCAGCAGUGGGGAAUAUUGCACAAUGGGGGAAACCCUGAUGCAGCGACGCCGCGUGAGUGA
rnacentral:rRNA from 1 species